UACAGAGGGGGCGAGCGUUGUUCGGAAUUACUGGGCGUAAAGGGCGCGUAGGCGGCCAACUAAGUCAGACGUGAAAUCCCUCGGCUCAACCGGGGAACUGCGUCUGAUACUGGCGGACUUGAGGACAGGAGAGGAACGCGGAAUUCCAGGUGUAGCGGUGAAAUGCGUAGAUAUCUGGAGGAACACCGGUGGCGAAGGCGGCGUUCUGGACUGUUUCUGACACUGAAAAACGAAAGCCAGGGGAGCAAACGGG
rnacentral:rRNA from 1 species